rnacentral:lncRNA from 1 species
AAAAACAGUCGUCAGUCAUCAGUCCAAGUCCGAACACAAAGAGACACAAAAGACACACACAAAAACCGUAAACCACAAACAAAAACAAGAUAAUAACAGACAACAUAGACGACUCACAAAAACAAACGUAAACAAACAAAAUUACCAAGCGACAGAACCAGAGUCAGAGAAAGGGGAGUGGACACAGAUUGUCCCAUUUCUAGAAAAACAGUAGUCACAACAAGAGCGG